AGUAUACAUAAGAGUUUGAUCAUGGCUCAGAUUGAACGCUGGCGGCAUGCCUUACACAUGCAAGUCGAACGGCAGCGCGGGGCAACCUGGCGGCGAGUGGCGAACGGGUGAGUAAUAUAUCGGAACGUACCCUGGAGUGGGGGAUAACGUAGCGAAAGUUACGCUAAUACCGCAUACGAUCUAAGGAUGAAAGUGGGGGACCGCAAGGCCUCACGCUCGUGGAGCGGCCGAUAUCUGAUUAGCUAGUUGGUGGGGUAAAGGCCUACCAAGGCAUCGAUCAGUAGCUGGUCUGAGAGGACGACCAGCCACACUGGAACUGAGACACGGUCCAGACUCCUACGGGAGGCAGCAGUGGGGAAUUUUGGACAAUGGGCGCAAGCCUGAUCCAGCAAUGCCGCGUGAGUGAAGAAGGCCUUCGGGUUGUAAAGCUCUUUUGUCAGGGAAGAAACGGUGGCUCCUAAUACGAGUUGCUAAUGACGGUACCUGAAGAAUAAGCACCGGCUAACUACGUGCCAGCAGCCGCGGUA
rnacentral:rRNA from 1 species